CAUGUAACAUUCCAUCGACAAGCUCGUGUGCUUCGAAUCUGCAUUGGUUGAGCUUAUCCCAGCGGAUCCUAGUGGUUUCAACCUAGAUUUCUCCUUGUAUACUUAUGAUCCCAAAUGGUGUGUGAUAUUUCAUCGGCGAUGCGAGCUACUCCCUCCGUUUCAUGAAGGUUAGAACGGAGGGAGUAAUUGUGUGGGCUACUGGUUGGAACUAAUAGAAUCAUCCCGAGGUAGACAAAUUAUAACUACGGAGUAUAAAAUUUGAGGAUAAGAGCUUAUGGAACUGGAUUAAUAGCUAUGGAGUGUUCAGUUUUUCCUGUAAAUACUGCUGUAGACACACCUGCCUCAAAGACUUGGGCAUUAAAGGGGUGGUGAAGUUUAAAUGUUUUUUUUUCUGCGGGCAAGUACCAAUCAGAGACACCAUUGUCUUCCUGGGCUGGUGUGAACGAACAACUUCAGUCCUAUCACUAGCCAGAGUCUCAUCCUUGAAGGAUGCUUGUUUUUGUGGUAGCACAUACUAUGGAUUCAGUUUUUCAAGGUGUUAGUUGUGGUCUUGGAUUUCAUAUUCAACUAUUUUGUUGGUCUUUCUCUGUCAAGUUGCUGUCAUUAGUGUUGGCAAGAAUAAUGAUGCAAAAUGGGGUUUGUUGGUGGAACUCCUGGAAACUAAGGCAUGUAUCUGUAACUCGUGUUUUAAAAAUCAGUCUCUUUAUAUUUGAUACUUCCUGAAAGAAAUCAUGAGAAUACUGAUCUUCAGAUGAACAUUUCCAUGUUUACCUAGAUUUCAAGAAGUAACAUGGUAAAGUUUUGCUGUGUAUUUUGCUUAAGUUUUGCUGUCUAUCUCAAGCUUUAUAGCGAAACCAAUGUUUUUGUACCAUCACUGCAAUCGCUUUGUAAUAUUUGUUGGAGUUUGUUGACAUAAAAGAAACCACAAACAUUUUCAGUUCAUCACUGUUUGCCACAAGAAGCAGUGUCUUAAGUUAUGUCCUCUUUUAGAUAUUCAGUGCUCCCUCCAUCCAAAAAUACAGGACUAAUUUGAGAAUUGAGGGAACUGAGAAAAAGAUUCUCCCGAGAAGGACGCUGAAGUCUGAGUUUUACUCCCGAGGAAAUUCCCCACUAGGCCAACUGCAGUGCAGCAUUGAGUAGAGGUGCAAUUAAGAAUCAAUUUGGAAACGAGUAAUGUGGACAUAUGGACUUGUGAUGGGAGCUCAAGCAUCAAUUUGUCCUUGUAUAUUUGGAUUUCUCAGAUUAGGAUCUGUCCUUGUAUUUUUGGAUGGAGGGAGUACCCUUAUAAGGUAACGAAAUUCAAACGAUGAACUAGCAUUUGCUACUCUAACUCUUGUUUGAACCUGGUAGAUGGUCAAUCGUAAAGUUGAAACUGUCCAUCAGACAAGAACCAAAUUCACUAUGCCCCAUCCCAUCCUUGUUUCUCGUUCUUGGUUUUGUCAGGUCCAGGCUGUACAUGAUAGGUCUGCACUUGGAAUUUGGGAGAAGUGGUGCACCUCAUAUCUACCAGGCUCCCCAUAGUAUGGUUUACGAUCAAUUAUAAUAUUGGUACAAAGGCUAUAUCGAAAGCCAUGUGAACAAUAGGCUGAAGCAACGUUUGUUUGACUUUUUUAAUUCCGCUUAUAUUUCUUCUCUCAUAUUAGUUGCUCACCAAGUAAUUCUUAAAAUUGCUCUCUAAGUUAAUUUUUAAAUUUCUCACUACCAAUUCAGAAGUAUUUAUUAGUUAAGUUGGUACCUCAAGACAUAAGUAAACUAGAUACCUGCAUUGAUGUACACGUGCAGUUCUAUAAAGAUAAUAAUUAUGCUAUGUUGCACUGGAGGUAAGUGAACCAUUUAUAUGUAAUUUUCCAUGAUCUUAUUUUCAAUCUGUCAUAGAAACCAAAUAUAUAUGUUAAAAGUUUCUUUCUUACACCAGCCUGAGAGGACAAAGAGCUUCUGCUCUAUCUAGAAGCAUGAGAGUACGAAAAUAAUUGAUAAGUCUGAAAUCAAGUUCCCAAAUCACAACAUAGUCUACCCCUACUAACAGCUAAUUUUGAAACUGCAUUCACAUGCAAUUAAAGCUUUAAAAGUAGCCUUUAGAGUACACUACUGCAGAAGGUUCCAAUCCACCCAAGUGCUUAAAUUGUAUGCCACCGUGCAGCUACCCUGCAUGACUGUGCUCUCAGGAGCUUAGGUAAUGACACUGUAUUUUUUGUUCGGUGAUGGAACCGUGUUUAGAUGUGAUUCAUCAUUAAUUUGUUAGGUUCAGGGGUCAAAUCAUUACUAACUUCAACAAUGUCUGGUUAAGGAAUAGUGCUAAGAGAAAGGAAUUGUGAAUGGCUCAAUGCAUUACAAAAGGUGUUAGGUGUAUACUUUUUCAUUGAGGACUGUCUGUCACUGCUGCGCCAUCUUUUAAAUCUGAUUAGUGAGUAGUGCAUGACCAUGCGAACAGCAUUACUCCUUCUAUUGGAGCCUUUAUAUGACUACAUAGAUCUCAUUGAUACCAAUUACCAAAUAAGUAGAUCUUGCCAUAUGUAUUUCAGUUUGUUUUUGGAUCACAGAUAAUUUGGAUAUAAAACCUUCUAAAAGUAAAUCUGAUCAGGUGAACAGUAUAAUACCAUUACUCAUAAAUGUGAUUUGAUGAAUCAUGUGUAUUCUUCAGUUAGGAACUUAAAGAAAUGGGGGGCAUAAUUUUUGCAGGAUUUUUACUGUGAUAUGGUUGGCAAAAUUGUGUGUCAAAUCAUCCAGUAUCUGGUUAACGACCACCCUCCACUGUAUGUGAACUGAGGAAGUUAAGAAAUAUACUGCUAUUUUUUAACAGAUUCCCUGAACAUAUCUCAGUUCCAUUAAGAGCUACGUGAUCUUCAGAAAAUAGUAGUUCUACUGAAGACUACGAGCUCGUCGUUGGGUUCAGGGAGAAGAGGCGACGCAAUCAUUGCUGUUUGGCUAGCUUGGGUUAUCGUCAGUGCUAUCAACCCUGUCCCGUUGUUCUAUGUCCAUCACUCCAGCCUAUCUUGCUUUCCCAUUCACAUGUGGAUGUCUGUUGUCCAAUGUCAUCCAUUGUUUCAAUUUCUCUCUUUUCCUGAUUAUUUGUUCAAUUUCUCUUUUUAGUCAUGAUCUGUAGACUGUAGCUCCCAAACUUACUGGCCAGUGGGGCACGACUUACAUGCACCUGCUAUUCAAGGUAAUCUCGAAAUCACGCAGGCUGAGAUAAUUGUGAAAGUGCUUUUCUUUACGAACGAUUUCCACUCUGCAGAAAAGGUAUCUUGAGUUCUGCUUUGUCUGUUUGUCGCUUUGUCUUAAUUAACUGUGCACCUAAAACUCUGUUGGUGGAACUGUGGAAGAUGCACAGCUUGGUAUUAAUGAGUUCCAUGCCUGACAUGUCUGGUGCUAGAUGAGUAGUAGCUGGCUGCUGUGCCAUAUUUAUGUUUGUCUCUGUGCGAUCCCAAGUCAUUUGCAUGUUUUAUCCCAAGAGACAAUUCUACAUAACAUUUUAAAUGUUUUUUCUAUGUUUUUUUCUUACACAUGCAUUUUCUAUGUUAAAUCUGCUUUGAUGUAACUUACUGCAAGACAUAUUUUUUACUUGAAUGAUGUACCUUUGAAAUUCAUCCAAGUAUGUUUCCUUGGUCCUCACAAUCAAUUUUCUUUCUGGCAGGAAAAUCACAAGAAUCAGCCAGUGAGGCUGGUGCUCAAACGAUACGGAUCACUGAAGAUGAGGAAUAUAUAUUUGCAUGUUUCUCUUUUUAAAGCCAGUAUAUCGAGAAAUGGUCGAUAAAUUACAAACAUUCAGAGCUGUUGGUGUAUGGCCUCCCACAUCUUCUGCACUGUCUGCAGCUCAGCAAGAAUUCAGAAUACAUCUCUGCAUUUAUGGCGGCCGUAAAAUGCUUGUGAUUCUUCAGACGUGCUGCUGCAGCGUCCUCUCCUGGUAAGGGCCCUUCUCUCAAAUUACUAUCCUGUAAAAUGUAGAACUCAGAACUAUUAACUGUGAAGUUAUCUGAAAUUACAUUCAGCCCACCUGCAUGCUCUCGAAUACUAUCUCCGAUCGAGGGAGUACUAUUAGGAUCGGAGGGAAUACUAUUUUUUAACAACCACCAGGGUCUCUGGUUAUACAUUAAGCAGAAAAGAAUUGUUUCUGCUAAUUCUUUUCGUUCCAAUUUUCCAUGUUAUACUCAAAGUUGUUGGUGGCUUUGAUGCCACCAAACAUAUCCCCAAGUCGCGUACAGCUUCAUGCAUGAAUUAUUGUGUAGUUGAAUCAGCCAACUCCUGAGAUAUGCCGUAUGAAUGCUGUCUGUCGAAGACGUGUCGAAUCCUGCUUUGCAUCCUGCUCGCCCAAUUCAUCUCCAUAAUUUCUUCCGGGACGGAGAGAUCCGGAGACGCCAUCCCUUUCUGUUAUUAAGGCGAAAACGAACGUGUUGCGUCAGAGCAGGGAGCCUGGACGGGGGACACACUGCUAGGAAGGAGUAUCAAAACACGAGGACAUGCGGCUGCUCGUGAUAUCAAAGCAAAUCCCUCAGCAACGGCUAGCGUGACCUGUGUUGUGAGGUCCUCGCCUGCGUCCGCGUGCAACUUGGAAGGAAUUAUUGUUUCUUUGACAAGAACAUGCACGGAGGCAGUUGAUUUUGCAUCACUUUCGCACUGUUUUUACCUUUAUUUUUUAUAAUGAUUUUUUUGUCUAAAAUUGAGAGGCGGCUGCCUUUUCUCUCUUUCUUCUUCUUGAUGAAUACGCUGUCCAGAAUUGUCCUGUCUCUGUUUUAAAACGUUUGCCAGCUACA